rnacentral:rRNA from 1 species
CUUCGGGGUACUCGAGUGGCGAACGGGUGAGUAACACGUGGGUGAUCUGCCCUGCACUCUGGGAUAAGCCUGGGAAACUGGGUCUAAUACCGGAUAGGACCACACACUUCAUGGUGAGUGGUGCAAAGCUUUUGCGGUGUGGGAUGAGCCCGCGGCCUAUCAGCUUGUUGGUGGGGUAAUGGCCCACCAAGGCGACGACGGGUAGCCGGCCUGAGAGGGUGACCGGCCACACUGGGACUGAGAUACGGCCCAGACUCCUACGGGAGGCAGCAGUGGGGAAUAUUGCACAAUGGGCGCAAGCCUGAUGCAGCGACGCCGCGUGAGGGAUGACGGCCUUCGGGUUGUAAACCUCUUUCAGUAGGGACGAAGCGAAAGUGACGGUACCUACAGAAGAAGGACCGGCCAACUACGUGCCAGCAGCCGCGGUAAUACGUAGGGUCCGAGCGUUGUCCGGAAUUACUGGGCGUAAAGAGCUCGUAGGUGGUUUGUCGCGUUGUUCGUGAAAACUCACAGCUUAACUGUGGGCGUGCGGGCGAUACGGGCAGACUAGAGUACUGCAGGGGAGACUGGA